UGGUGUUCAUAUUAAAAUUUCCCUGAAAAAUCGUUUGCAGAAAUGAAUUCCGCAAAUGGAAAUGCAUGAAUGCAAGGAACCUUGGUGUUCAUGAAAAGGAACUUAUCCUGCAAUUAAGUGAUCAUGCUAGGCGUCAAAUGGAACAGCUCUCGAUUGGACGGCUAACGGAUUUAUCGGCACCUGACUGGCUAUAAUUUUCCUUAAUCCAACAUUUCUUUUGGUUGGGUGGUACACUAGCUUUCUGCUAUAAAAGGUUUGGAAGUAUAUGACAACUGCUUUUUUGCGGUUAGAUGAUCUCUGGCAUUGUAAUGCUGUUUG